rnacentral:tRNA from 1 species
UGCCGGGUGAUGUAAUGGUAGCAUGCGAGGCUCUGGACCUCGUCAUCUUGGUUCGAAUCCAAGCCCGGCAGC